rnacentral:rRNA from 1 species
AUGCAGGAGGACACGGACACGGGCGACGACGGGAAGGAGAAGGACACGCGCGCGGACGCCGCGCCGCCGUGCGGCAUGACGCGGGACGACGAGUGCUGCGACCGGCGCCAGUACGAGAAGGACGACGACAGCGCCCUCCGGCCGGCGCCCCCGCCCCGCGCCGACGAGGACGACCUCCUCCACGCCACGUCGCCGCCGCCGGGCGGCGCGCCGGCCGCGGACGGGGACGACGGCCACCACGUGGAGAGCGACGCCGACGCCAGGAAGGUGACGCGCUGGGACGCGGACGCGUCGACGGCGGCCUCGUCCACGCUCUUGCCGCCGGAGCUCAGCUUCGCCAGCGGGGGCUGCUUCUUCUUGGAGCGGCGCGGGAGGUGGAAGCACAGCGCGGCGCACCCGGUGCCCAUGUCCGGCCGCCGCGGCGCCCGCGCCCGCGGCGGGCUGCUGCUGGUUUCCCAGGACGACGGCUCGGCCGACACUGGCGCGUCUUCUUGGGGAGCGGCCAUGGGUGGCCCUGCUCGGUGGGCUUGA